UACGUAGGGUGCGAGCGUUGUCCGGAAUUAUUGGGCGUAAAGGGCUCGUAGGCGGUUUGUCGCGUCGGGAGUGAAAACCCAGGGCUUAACCCUGGGCUGGCUUUCGAUACGGGCAGACUAGAGGUAUGCAGGGGAGAACGGAAUUCCUGGUGUAGCGGUGAAAUGCGCAGAUAUCAGGAGGAACACCGGUGGCGAAGGCGGUUCUCUGGGCAUUACCUGACGCUGAGGAGCGAAAGCCAGGGGUGCAAACGGG
rnacentral:rRNA from 1 species